rnacentral:rRNA from 1 species
GGGUUGUGAGGUUAAGCGACUAAGCGUACACGGUGGAUGCCCUGGCAGUCAGAGGCGAUGAAGGACGUGCUAAUCUGCGAUAAGCGUCGGUAAGGUGAUAUGAACCGUUAUAACCGGCGAUUUCCGAAUGGGGAAACCCAGUGUGUUUCGACACACUAUCAUUAACUGAAUCCAUAGGUUAAUGAGGCGAACCGGGGGAACUGAAACAUCUAAGUACCCCGAGGAAAAGAAAUCAACCGAGAUUCCCCCAGUAGCGGCGAGCGAACGGGGAGCAGCCCAGAGCCUGAAUCAGUGUGUGUGUUAGUGGAAGCGUCUGGAAAGGCGCGCGAUACAGGGUGACAGCCCCGUACACAAAAAUGCACAUGCUGUGAGCUCGAUGAGUAGGGCGGGACACGUGGUAUCCUGUCUGAAUAUGGGGGGACCAUCCUCCAAGGCUAAAUACUCCUGACUGACCGAUAGUGAACCAGUACCGUGAGGGAAAGGCGAAAAGAACCCCGGCGAGGGGAGUGAAAAAGAACCUGAAACCGUGUACGUACAAGCAGUGGGAGCACGCUUAGGCGUGUGACUGCGUACCUUUUGUAUAAUGGGUCAGCGACUUAUAUUCUGUAGCAAGGUUAACCGAAUAGGGGAGCCGAAGGGAAACCGAGUCUUAACUGGGCGUUAAGUUGCAGGGUAUAGACCCGAAACCCGGUGAUCUAGCCAUGGGCAGGUUGAAGGUUGGGUAACACUAACUGGAGGACCGAACCGACUAAUGUUGAAAAAUUAGCGGAUGACUUGUGGCUGGGGGUGAAAGGCCAAUCAAACCGGGAGAUAGCUGGUUCUCCCCGAAAGCUAUUUAGGUAGCGCCUCGUGAAUUCAUCUCCGGGGGUAGAGCACUGUUUCGGCAAGGGGGUCAUCCCGACUUACCAACCCGAUGCAAACUGCGAAUACCGGAGAAUGUUAUCACGGGAGACACACGGCGGGUGCUAACGUCCGUCGUGAAGAGGGAAACAACCCAGACCGCCAGCUAAGGUCCCAAAGUCAUGGUUAAGUGGGAAACGAUGUGGGAAGGCCCAGACAGCCAGGAUGUUGGCUUAGAAGCAGCCAUCAUUUAAAGAAAGCGUAAUAGCUCACUGGUCGAGUCGGCCUGCGCGGAAGAUGUAACGGGGCUAAACCAUGCACCGAAGCUGCGGCAGCGACGCUUAUGCGUUGUUGGGUAGGGGAGCGUUCUGUAAGCCUGUGAAGGUGUACUGUGAGGUAUGCUGGAGGUAUCAGAAGUGCGAAUGCUGACAUAAGUAACGAUAAAGCGGGUGAAAAGCCCGCUCGCCGGAAGACCAAGGGUUCCUGUCCAACGUUAAUCGGGGCAGGGUGAGUCGACCCCUAAGGCGAGGCCGAAAGGCGUAGUCGAUGGGAAACAGGUUAAUAUUCCUGUACUUGGUGUUACUGCGAAGGGGGGACGGAGAAGGCUAUGUUGGCCGGGCGACGGUUGUCCCGGUUUAAGCGUGUAGGCUGGUUUUCCAGGCAAAUCCGGAAAAUCAAGGCUGAGGCGUGAUGACGAGGCACUACGGUGCUGAAGCAACAAAUGCCCUGCUUCCAGGAAAAGCCUCUAAGCAUCAGGUAACAUCAAAUCGUACCCCAAACCGACACAGGUGGUCAGGUAGAGAAUACCAAGGCGCUUGAGAGAACUCGGGUGAAGGAACUAGGCAAAAUGGUGCCGUAACUUCGGGAGAAGGCACGCUGAUAUGUAGGUGAAGUCCCUCGCGGAUGGAGCUGAAAUCAGUCGAAGAUACCAGCUGGCUGCAACUGUUUAUUAAAAACACAGCACUGUGCAAACACGAAAGUGGACGUAUACGGUGUGACGCCUGCCCGGUGCCGGAAGGUUAAUUGAUGGGGUUAGCGCAAGCGAAGCUCUUGAUCGAAGCCCCGGUAAACGGCGGCCGUAACUAUAACGGUCCUAAGGUAGCGAAAUUCCUUGUCGGGUAAGUUCCGACCUGCACGAAUGGCGUAAUGAUGGCCAGGCUGUCUCCACCCGAGACUCAGUGAAAUUGAACUCGCUGUGAAGAUGCAGUGUACCCGCGGCAAGACGGAAAGACCCCGUGAACCUUUACUAUAGCUUGACACUGAACAUUGAGCCUUGAUGUGUAGGAUAGGUGGGAGGCUUUGAAGUGUGGACGCCAGUCUGCAUGGAGCCGACCUUGAAAUACCACCCUUUAAUGUUUGAUGUUCUAACGUUGACCCGUAAUCCGGGUUGCGGACAGUGUCUGGUGGGUAGUUUGACUGGGGCGGUCUCCUCCUAAAGAGUAACGGAGGAGCACGAAGGUUGGCUAAUCCUGGUCGGACAUCAGGAGGUUAGUGCAAUGGCAUAAGCCAGCUUGACUGCGAGCGUGACGGCGCGAGCAGGUGCGAAAGCAGGUCAUAGUGAUCCGGUGGUUCUGAAUGGAAGGGCCAUCGCUCAACGGAUAAAAGGUACUCCGGGGAUAACAGGCUGAUACCGCCCAAGAGUUCAUAUCGACGGCGGUGUUUGGCACCUCGAUGUCGGCUCAUCACAUCCUGGGGCUGAAGUAGGUCCCAAGGGUAUGGCUGUUCGCCAUUUAAAGUGGUACGCGAGCUGGGUUUAGAACGUCGUGAGACAGUUCGGUCCCUAUCUGCCGUGGGCGCUGGAGAAUUGAGGGGGGCUGCUCCUAGUACGAGAGGACCGGAGUGGACGCAUCACUGGUGUUCGGGUUGUCAUGCCAAUGGCACUGCCCGGUAGCUAAAUGCGGAAGAGAUAAGUGCUGAAAGCAUCUAAGCACGAAACUUGCCCCGAGAUGAGUUCUCCCUGACUCCUUGAGAGUCCUGAAGGAACGUUGAAGACGACGACGUUGAUAGGCCGGGUGUGUAAGCGCAGCGAUGCGUUGAGCUAACCGGUACUAAUGAACCGUGAGGCUUAACCUUACAACGCCGAAG